rnacentral:lncRNA from 1 species
AAAGGUAACAUCUACCUCCAGAGGUAAGCAUAAUUUGGCAAAUAUGGAAUUGCCUAUACAACUGCUAUGAAUAAUUCUUAGAUGAUGGCCAGGAAAGUUUCCUAAAAAUAGUUUCUGGAUGGGAGUCAGCCUCCCAAAGUCCUAGGAUUACAGGUGUGAGCCACUGAGCCUGGCCCAAAAUGUUUUUUAAAAAACAAUGUAUGAUUAAGGAUCAGCCAUUUGUUUUUAAUGCCUUUUAAGUUUCUAAAUCUAUAAUAAAUAGUGCCUCCUUGAGUGUGUGUAUGUGUGUGUGCCUGCAUGCACAUAUAUGACACUAAUUUUUCAAAUAAAUUGGGCUAUGUCCAGAUGUGGAAUCUCACUCAUAUAAUCCCAGUAUUUUGGGAGUCUGAAGCAGGAGGAUUACUUCAGGCCAGGAAUUCAAGACCAGCCUCAGCAACACAGCCAGACCUCAUCUCUACAAAAAAUAAAAGAAAUAUUAGCUGGGUAUGGUGAUAUGCACCUAUAGCCCUAGCUACUCGGGAGCCUGAGGCAGGAGGAAUGCUUGAGCCCAGGAGUUCAAGGCUGCAUUGAGCUUAGAAGGCAUCACUGCACCCCAGCCUGGGCGACCUCAUCUCUUUAAAAGAGCAAGAUCUUAUCUCUUAAAAAAAAAAAAAGAAAAAAGAAAACAAAUUGUGCUAGUAGUCUUGUAGAACGUCUCAAUUCUGUUUUCUUUCUUUUUCCUUUACUCUCUGUAUUUCCAAUAAAUUAGAAAUUAGAGCUAAAGGGUGAUUAGGUCCAGGUUGAACAUUUUUGGCAAGAAAACUUCCUAGAUGAUACUGGGCCUGAUCACUUGGCUAAGGUGACAACAGCCAGACCCCUCCAAUGGAAGGGAAUGCUCCCUCUGCCACAGUGAAUAGUCUAUGGACAUACCCUCUGAAGCAGCGGAAAACCUAGUUUCCCAUCAACCUUUCACCUAAUGGUUUUAGUAUUUACUGGAGAUCCUUGUCUGAAUCAAUGAUUUCAUUAGGGACUGCAAAAUGAUGAUUUUUGAAUCCCAUCAUUCCUUUUGCAUACAUCAGCUGACAUACUCUGUAAAGAGCUUUCUCUCAUCAAAUGGGGUUAUUUGGUUAUCUUGAGCUCCUAUUAAAAAAGGCAGAAUAAUACUUCUCUCAUUUUAAAAUUCUGAUAUUCAGAAUAAGGAGUAUUACAAUAGGAGAUUUUAUUUUGCUUUGCCUUUUUAUAUUUCCUCAUUAUCACCCAAUGACAGUUUCUAUAAAAAAAUUGCAAACUCAUUAAGCUAGGCAUCUGAAAGUUAGUCAUUUACCCACCAGCUUCUAACACGAAAACACAUUCCUUAUAAUGUUCUCAUGAUGGCUGGAAGAAACAGUGGGAAGGAGAGACCCCCAAAAUUGUUUAUAUUGGCUAUAGCCACACUGAGUUUCCAUGGCUAACAAAAGCUCAAGAUAAAGUGCUUGAAAUAACCUUGACACAAUUGGUACUGAUAGCCAUGUUGAACCCUUUAAAUGUAAAACAAUUCUAUUUAUAUAAUAGGGGUUUAUGUCAAUUUAUAAAAACAGUGCUUACUUUGCAGGCUUAAUGCGGGAUCAGAAAUGUUAUUUUGAGAAAAGAAAAACAGAUGAUAAGUUUGCUUAAGUGGCUUUGUUUAAAAAGGGGAUGAAAACAGUUCUGUAUACUUGAUUUUAAAAACAGAAAACCAUUUUAACAGAAACCCACAACAAAACUGGCUAUAAAGAUAGAUUCCAAUAUAAUUAUGGAAAUUCAUUUGAAGAGAUUGUUUCUAAAAGCAGCCCAUACUGUCCUCAUUUGUAGCAAACAGAAGAACAUCAAUUUCAAAAGACAAGUAAAAUUAAUGAAAGGAAACCAGAUAAGAAAAAUUGACUGAUUCUUAUAUUUCUGGGAAAACGGUGUUAUAAUUUUUUUUUGAGGAAAAUGUAUGACUAGAAAUUAAUCUCAAUUGGAGAGCUUUAAAAAGGCUUUUCUUCUCCGUUCUAGAAGACCAAAUUUGCAUGUUUCUCUAUAAUUCUGGGACACAGAUUUGAAGGCAGUGCAAAGCCCCAGAAUGUAAAUAAGAAUUCUGUCCUCCGAUCAGUUUUGCAGGAGGGCAGAGGCUGGGGAGAUUUGGUCUGAUGAGAAGCAACCCCUGCAUGAGGGUUAAAGCCUGGAAUCUGUGCCAGGCCCACAGACGGUGGAGUUGCUAGAUUUUAGUUUCUCUGACAUUUGAAAAAUAAUACUGAAGCUCUUGAAAUAUUAUUGUACUUUUAAACUAUUUUCUAUAUAGAAGUGAGCUAUCUUUUGAGUGAAAGAGACAAACAAAAGAUCUAUUUUUCCAAGCCAAUGUGAACAAGUCAACAGGAGCAAAGAAAUUGCACUCUGGCAACUAAACAAACUGAGUCACAGUCCAUGUGGGAGAAGAAAGAGAGUCAGCAUUGUUUGUGCAUCAGUAUCACUAGUUUUCAGCUAAAUAUACUAGCUGGACAUUAACAAGUAUAUUCUUACACUUUUUGGAAAUAUCUAACAAUAACCGUUAGACUCAGCUACUUGCUAAUGAAAUGGCUCAUUGAUGUAGCUAAGAGAAGCUUUAGAUCAUCUGACUGAGUAUAAGACCAGCUGACUGGCUGGGCGCGGUGGCUCACGCCUGUAAUCCCAGCACUUUGGGAGGCUGAGGUAGGCAGAUCAUCUGAAGUCAGGAGUUUGAGACUAGCCUGGCCAACAUGGUGAACCCUCAUCUCUACUAAAAAUAUAAAAAUUAGCCAGGCCUGGUGGCGGGUGUCUGUAAUCCCAGCUACUCAGGAGGCUGAGGCAGGAGAAUCGCUUGAACCCGGGAGGAGGUUGCGGUCAGCCGAGAUCGCG